rnacentral:rRNA from 1 species
ACUCAGGCUAAUACCGCAUACGUCCUACGGGAGAAAGGGGGCUUUGGCUCCCGCUAUUGGAUGAGCCUAUGUCGGAUUAGCUGGUUGGUGAGGUAAUGGCUCACCAAGGCAACGAUCCGUAGCUGGUUUGAGAGGAUGAUCAGCCACAUCGGGACUGAGACACGGCCCGAACUCCUACGGGAGGCAGCAGUGGGGAAUAUUGGACAAUGGGCGCAAGCCUGAUCCAGCCAUGCCGCGUGUGUGAAGAAGGCCUUCGGGUUGUAAAGCACUUUCAGCGAGGAAGAACGCCUGUCGGUUAAUACCCGGCAGGAAAGACAUCACUCGCAGAAGAAGCACCGGCUAACUCCGUGCCAGCAGCCGCGGUAAUACGGAGGGUGCAAGCGUUAAUCGGAAUUACUGGGCGUAAAGCGCGCGUAGGUGGCUUGAUAAGCCGGUUGUGAAAGCCCCGGGCUCAACCUGGGAACGGCAUCCGGAACUGUCAGGCUAGAGUGCAGGAGAGGAAGGUAGAAUUCCCGGUGUAGCGGUGAAAUGCGUAGAGAUCGGGAGGAAUACCAGUGGCGAAGGCGGCCUUCUGGACUGACACUGACACUGAGGUGCGAAAGCGUGGGUAGCAAACAGGAUUAGAUACCCUGGUAGUCCACGCCGUAAACGAUGUCGACCAGCCGUUGGGUGCCUAGCGCACUUUGUGGCGAAGUUAACGCGAUAAGUCGACCGCCUGGGGAGUACGGCCGCAAGGUUAAAACUCAAAUGAAUUGACGGGGGCCCGCACAAGCGGUGGAGCAUGUGGUUUAAUUCGAUGCAACGCGAAGAACCUUACCUACCCUUGACAUCUACAGAAGCCGGGAGAGAUCCUGGUGUGCCUUCGGGAACUGUAAGACAGGUGCUGCAUGGCUGUCGUCAGCUCGUGUUGUGAAAUGUUGGGUUAAGUCCCGUAACGAGCGCAACCCUUGUCCUUAUUUGCCAGCACGUAAUGGUGGGAACUCUAAGGAGACUGCCGGUGACAAACCGGAGGAAGGUGGGGACGACGUCAAGUCAUCAUGGCCCUUACGGGUAGGGCUACACACGUGCUACAAUGGCCGGUACAAAGGGUUGCCAACUCGCGAGAGUGCGCCAAUCCCGAAAAGCCGGUCUCAGUCCGGAUCGGAGUCUGCAACUCGACUCCGUGAAGUCGGAAUCGCUAGUAAUCGUGAAUCA